rnacentral:tRNA from 1 species
UGCCCCUUUGCCUAACGGUAAGGCAUCAGAUUUUGGUUCUGAGUAUAGAGGUUCGAUUCCUUUAGGGGUAA